rnacentral:lncRNA from 1 species
AAUUACUCUUUUCUUUGAUGUAUUGUCAAAAAUUAGCAUGUUUAAAUGGAUUUAUUUAAUAUCUAGUAUAAAUUUAUUUUAUUUUAUUAACUAAUUCAUUUCUUUUGUAUUAAUAUUCAAAAACAUAAAAAAAAAAAAUAGAAACUCCAACGUCUCUCUUCCAUGCGUCCAUCCAUUACCUCACUCUCUCCCCACUCAUAACUACCUCACUCUCUCUCUCUCAAAUCUGAAGAAAAUCUCACGCUACAUAUUCCUGACCCCACUCAAUUCACCAUC